rnacentral:rRNA from 1 species
UUACCGAGUUUACAAACUCCCAAACCCCUGUGAACUUAUACCUUUACGUUGCUUCGGCGGGACUCGCCCCGGCUGCCCUCGCGGCGGACCGGACCCAGGCGCCCGCCGGAGGACCCAAACUCUUCUGUCUUUUAUAGCGGCAUGUCUGAGUGGAUUUUUAUACAAAUGAAUCAAAACUUUCAACAACGGAUCUCUUGGUUCUGGCAUCGAUGAAGAACGCAGCGAAAUGCGAUAAGUAAUGUGAAUUGCAGAAUUCAGUGAAUCAUCGAAUCUUUGAACGCACAUUGCGCCCGCCAGUAUUCUGGCGGGCAUGCCUGUUCGAGCGUCAUUUCAACCCUCAAGCCCCCGCUUGGUGUUGGGUGCCGGCGCCGGCGCCUGCGAGUCUUCUCGCAGCAGCGCCCGCCGCCCCCGAAAUUGAUUGGCGGUCUCGUCGCGACCUCCCUUGCGUAGUAACAUACCACCUCGCAUGGCGGAGCGCGGCGCGGCCACGCCGUAAAACAACCCAAUUUCUCAGAGUUGACCUCGGAUCAGGUAGGAAUACCCGCUGAACUUAAGCAUAUCAAUAAGCGGAGGAAAAGAAACCAACAGGGAUUGCCCCAGUAACGGCGAGUGAAGCGGCAACAGCUCAAAUUUGAAAUCUGGCCCUAGGCCCGAGUUGUAAUUUGCAGAGGAUGCUUUUGGCGCGGUGCCUUCCGAGUGCCCUGGAACGGGACGCCAUAGAGGGUGAGAGCCCCAUCUGGUUGGACACCAAGCCUAUGUAAAGCUCCUUCGAC